UCAUCCUUACAAGGUUGCGGUGGUAGACGCACUACCACCCUACUGCCAAGGCAGCCUGGAUCAUAACACAGAACCUCGAUAGGGCCAGAGAUCAGAGAAGAGAAGAGAAGUUUGUUCCACCACACACCUACUGGAAACCUCAACAGCCAGGUGACACCACACACCUACUGGAGUUCUCAACAGCUAGGUGACAACUACAGCCACUGCCAUGACCACACAGAUCAUCUAGAGCUCUCCAGUUGACAGGCCCAGAGCUCCACUUGAAUCUUGGAUCUUGAACUUGAAAGCUCUCCAGUUGCAGGCCCAGAGCUCCAGCCUUGUACCCCAGAGACUCCCUGCACCACAGGGGGGGUCUACACACCACCAAGGUGUGGAUGGGUUUUGGUAAACCAGGGCCCUUCCUGGUGGGGUGACCGGGAUUCGAACCCAGGAUCUCUCGAAGCCUUAACGAAAUCAGCUUGAGUGUCUUAACCAUUUAGACGACCCCCCCGACCUUCUUGUACGCCGUCUGGUGUGCGUACUGGUCCCGCGAGCCUGCUAAGCAGACGUCGGAGCAUGUGGUUCGGGAGGUGGUCAGCGAGCUGCGCAGGGUGAUGCAGCUGCGUUUCACUGCCGCCACGCUAACCCCUGAAACCCUGUCGGCUCUGCCCACACAGCUUCUCACCGCGCAGCUCAAGGCGGCUAAGCUGGAGCACUUUGUUGCCAUCUGGACGGCAGGUGGCGCGCUUUGUGAAGUGGAGGAGGUUCAGGGUGGGUCACCGAAGUUGAACUUGCGGCUGACGCUUGCAUCACCUGUGCAGGCCCCCUGGGUUUCCUUUUGGGCGGCGUUUCUUUCCAAGCGCUGGCGUGGUGUACUAUCGUCAUCAGCUUAUCUGGCGCCCAUGUGUUUUAGCUCUGGCUGGCGUCACAGCGCCUGGGCGGCUGUGGGACUUCCUGCACAGCGCGUCUUGCAGCGGGCUGGAGCCCACUUAUUUAGCGCCACAUCUGGCCCGUUUAGUCUUCUGCUUGUGUCUCCUCUGCCGGUUCUCCUGGGGUGUUGCUUAAGCAACCGACUUGUGGGGGUGGGGUGGGUUUGGGCGGGGCGAGUGCGUAGCGCUGGUGUUUCUUUUUCUGGCGCGCGGUGGUGGUGGUUCUUGCGGUUAGGCUGUGGUGUAGGUUGGUGCUUGGGUUAGGUCUGGCUGUGUUUUUGUGCAACCCCUCCCGGGGGGCGGGGGGGCCAGCCUCCUGCUCUGUCUGCCGGGUCGGGGUGGGGUGGGGUGGGAUGGAUGGGGGUGGUUGUUGGCGGUUUUCGAGGUGUUUGUUUUCUGUUUUUCUUCUCUUUUCUUCUCUUCUUGCCCUGUCAGGGUUCUGGUCUCGGGGACCAGGCUGUCUUCAGGCAGCAGGGGGGCAGCGCGUCUGCCCCUGUUCAACCUUGUAAGGAUGAUCCCUCAAAAAAAAAAAACGCGGCGCGCACACAUUCUGCCUGCAUACCUUUUUGGGCUGAGCCCCCCGAGCGAAGCGAUCCAGGGGGGGGCGAAGCCCCCCAGGAUUGCCCCUGUCCGUGCCUGCCUGCGUGCCUGCCUGCGUCGACAAAAAGUGCCAAUCUGGCGCAAACCGCGAGUGCCACGUAUUAUUAAUUGCUAUUCCCUAUUGUAGAAAAAUAGGCGGCAGGGAAAACUCGGCCGGGGCGAGAAGCGACCUCGUGAGUCCAUGGACAUCUUGACUUUCUUCAGUCCGCGAGUAUAGCUCUCGGCCCCUAAAUAUCUUACAUCCAUGUAUCAAAACAUGUCGACGACAAGCGUCUUGGGGCAAGAAUGUCGAAAUUGUUUGCAACAGCCAAACCAUGCGUCCCCGAGCCUUAAAUGUGUCGCGGCCCGGGAUCCCGCGCCCGAGCCCGGCUAGCCGUUUGCGGUGCUUGAGUGGGAUGUGGGUGAGGUGCAUUUGGGAUAUCAUGGACCGUGAAGUGGCGUGGGUAAGGUGGCGUGGCGUGGCGGGGACAGGGCAUGUCGGUGCCUCGGCACGGCGUUGGCAUAGUGGCUAGUCCCGCUGGAUGGGCUUGCAAGGGUGCUGUUCAUGUCGCCGGUGCCCAUCGUCACAUCCCUUGCGCUUCAUGGGGCUCAGCCCAUUUUCCAGCUGUACAAAGCUGACACCCCUUGUUUUUUUAAAGUCAUCCUUACAAGGUUGCGGUGGUAGACGCACUCCCACCCUACUGCCAAGGCAGCCUGGAACAUAUCACAGAACCUCGAUAGGGCCAGAGAUCAGAGAAGAGAAGAGAAGUUUUUGUUCCACCACACACCUACUGGAAACCUCAACAGCCAGGUGACACCACACACCUACUGGAGUUCUCAACAGCUAGGUGACAACUACAGCCACUGCCAUGACCACACAGAUCAUCUAGAGCUCUCCAGUUGACAGGCCCAGAGCUCCACUUGAAUCUUGGAUCUUGAACUUGAAAGCUCUCCAGUUGCAGGCCCAGAGCUCCAGCCUUGUACCCCAGAGACUCCCUGCACCACAGGGGGGUCUACACACCAACAAG
rnacentral:lncRNA from 1 species